CAGCCGCCGCGGUAAUACGGAGGGUGCAAGCGUUAAUCGGAAUUACUGGGCGUAAAGCGCACGCAGGCGGUCUGUCAAGUCAGAUGUGAAAUCCCCGGGCUUAACCUGGGAACUGCAUUUGAAACUGGCAGGCUAGAGUCUUGUAGAGGGGGGUAGAAUUCCAGGUGUAGCGGUGAAAUGCGUAGAGAUCUGGAGGAAUACCGGUGGCGAAGGCGGCCCCCUGGACAAAGACUGACGCUCAGGUGCGAAAGCGUGGGGAGCAAACAGGAUUAGAUACCCGCGUAGUCCCUGUCUCUUAUAC
rnacentral:rRNA from 1 species